ACGAUGUUCCGCUGCAAUAAAGAAAGUCUGUGCAAGAGCAUCUG
rfam:Bacillus infantis NRRL B-14911, complete genome.